rnacentral:rRNA from 1 species
GACGAACGCUGGCGGCGUGCUUAACACAUGCAAGUCGAACGGAAAGGCCCUGCUUUUGUGGGGUGCUCGAGUGGCGAACGGGUGAGUAACACGUGAGUAACCUGCCCUUGACUUUGGGAUAACUUCAGGAAACUGGGGCUAAUACCGGAUAGGAGCUCCUGCUGCAUGGUGGGGGUUGGAAAGUUUCGGCGGUUGGGGAUGGACUCGCGGCUUAUCAGCUUGUUGGUGGGGUAGUGGCUUACCAAGGCUUUGACGGGUAGCCGGCCUGAGAGGGUGACCGGCCACAUUGGGACAGAGAUACGGCCCAGACUCCUACGGGAGGCAGCAGUGGGGAAUAUUGCACAAUGGGCGGAAGCCUGAUGCAGCAACGCCGCGUGCGGGAUGACGGCCUUCGGGUUGUAAACCGCUUUCGCCUGUGACGAAGGGUGAGUGACGGUAAUGGGUAAAGAAGCACCGGCUAACUACGUG